rnacentral:tRNA from 1 species
GCGGUCGGCUGGGGGAGGAACUUCUCGCGCAGCUCCUGGCUGUGCUCGAAGCCGCCGGAGCCGAGGAUGACGCCGCGCCGGGCGCG